AGCCUUCUUUGAAAGGAUAGAAGAGACUAGAUGCAACACUUGACGAACAAGUGUGGUGUUAUUCCCCAAACCACUAACACCAUCCUUAUAACUCUUGCCUACUGCCCCGUUUCAUAGGUAAGAAAUGAGUAUCCAUGAUCCCAGCACAUAGGAGGCUGAGGCAGGAUGACCAGGAACUUAAGGCUACAUAGUGAAUUCUAGUCCAGUCAGCACUAUGUAAUAAGACUGAUUUUAAAGAAAAAAGAAAAAAAGGAAGGUCAAGCAGUGGUGCUACACGCCUUUAAUCCCAGCACUCCGGAGGCAGAGGCAGGGGGAUCUCUGUGAGUUCAAGGCCAGCCUGGUCUACAGAGGGAGUUCCAGGACAAACCGGGGUAGCAGAGAGAAACCCUGGCUUGGGAGAUGGGGGGAGGUAAAGACUUACAGAAAGAAGACACAAAGGAAGAGAGAGAAGGAAAAAAUAAACAAGGCUCUAGGCUUAAGCAACUGACCCACAGCUCACAACCCCAUGCCCAGGUCAGCAGCCUCGUCCACGGGAGCCUCAGGACAAAAAGGGGUCAUCUCAGAUGUGCAGGAGUGAGGGUGAAGGAGACAGAAGAGCCAGCCCUAAACAAGUGAUGGACACAGCAUCCCUGCUCUAGAAAGAGGAGCCUAGCUAGGGUGGGGACAAAAGAAGAGGUCAGGGGUUGGGGAUUUAGCUCAGUGGUAGAGCGCUUGCCUAGAAAGCACAAGGCCCUGGGUUCGGUCCCCAGCUCCGAAAAAAAAAAAAAAGAAAAGAAAAGA
rnacentral:lncRNA from 1 species